rnacentral:rRNA from 1 species
AACGAACGCUGGCGGCAUGCCUAACACAUGCAAGUCGAACGAGACCUUCGGGUCUAGUGGCGCACGGGUGCGUAACGCGUGGGAACCUGCCCUUAGGUUCGGAAUAACUCCCCGAAAGGGGUGCUAAUACCGGAUAAUGUCUUCGGAGCAAAGAUUUAUCGCCUUUGGAUGGGCCCGCGUUUGAUUAGCUAGUUGGUAGGGUAAAGGCCUACCAAGGCGACGAUCCAUAGCUGGUCUGAGAGGAUGACCAGCCACACUGGGACUGAGACACGGCCCAGACUCCUACGGGAGGCAGCAGUGGGGAAUAUUGGACAAUGGGCGAAAGCCUGAUCCAGCAAUGCCGCGUGAGUGAUGAAGGUCUUAGGGUUGUAAAGCUCUUUUACCCGGGAUGAUAAUGACAGUACCGGGAGAAUAAGCUCCGGCUAACUCCGUG